AUGAAGCCGCGUGGCCAUCCAAACAACCUCUUGGGGAAUCGGGGGGAGUGGUGGACGCCAUCAAUGGGCACGGUGGCGCACGUAGCCAUGUACGCACAUCACACAACUUCAAAGUCCGGUUGUGGCACAAGGAGGAAGAAGCUUAAACUACCAACCUCCCAAGUCUUGAAAUAUGGAGGCUACAUGGCUGUUCAUGACGCAAGCUCCAUGAAUUAUGACGAUCAGGGGCCAUAUGACGACUGUGCUAAGCUAUCAUUUUGAUAUAAAAAACCAUCAAUUUAGCACUUAUUAUGGUGAUGGGGUCACAUGGCGGCUCUUCUACAGUUGCUCUUAGCACUACUAGGGUAAAUCUUAUAGGUAGAGACUUAGCAAUAGUGCGGCUCUGUAACACGCGUUACUACUAACUUACAACACCGCCGGGAGGAAAAGAACGCUACAGGUAAGCCUGUCAGUAGCGCGGGCAAGCCGAACCGCGCUGCUGCUAAGUGGUCCCCACAAUACCCACCAGGCUACCUAUAGUUGCAGCAUGUUCCACUAAACCCCUACUAUUGCUAAACCGAUAGCCGUAGCACGUGUUACAGACCCACUACUGCAACUAUUGUGAGAACGAAGGGAGGAGCGACCAUCAUCGACGGUCGAAUAUAUCAGAGGGGGAGUGACCAUCAUAUACACCACGUGAGAUGAGAGUUUUCAAGGAUGACUCGACAGACCAAAAGUCAACCUGUGCCGAAUAGUGAUAUGUGUGUUAAGUUCCUGAUAAUUGUUGAGUUCCUAAAAUGUCUGGCGAUGAUAGGAUCCUGAGUGCGAUUACUGCGGCGACGACCGAGGUAUGUGCAACAUGCAUCACCUGGAAAAUGGUAGGUUCUUCACCAUCAAGCUAGAUGAGACGCUCGAUGUUUUUAGUGCAUCGUCCCCUGCCAUGCAAGACUGUAUGACUUGGAGAAGCUCGGUUUCCAAGAUACUGACAAUAUGGAGACGAAGAUAUCUCACCAUAAGACUCAACAUGGUUACACUUUUUGGGUUAAGCUCUACAAUACAGUUAAUCACUCACAUUUUGGUUGCUCAAAUUGAAGAGCUCUAUGCAAGGCCUAUGUAUUUCAGGAGGAUAUGCAAAUAACCUUCGAUAUUCAUCUUGAAGAUGAUAUUGAAGAUAAUAUCAACAUUUGGGUGGAUGUCGAUGUGCUUCCAGUUCUACCUCUAUGUGAGUUUGUCAAACAAUUUUUUUAUUUUUUAUUUUUAUUUAAAAAUAGUUAACAGCUUAUUUCCAUCCUUCAACAAAUAUACGAAAGGUAGUAGUCAAAACCUACUACAUUUAUGGCUCUGAACUAACUUGCGAGGACAAAAUUCAUCUUGUCUCAUUUAUUAAUGAUGUUGAGACUUUCAAGAGCAAUUACGAAAUUAACUCCAAUUAUGCUCAAUACGUGCCAUUAGUCCAUGUGUCGAACUACGGUAACAUCCAUGAAAAUAGCAUGGUAAGAUUUUUUAUUAUUAUGUCUCCAGUGCAUCUUUUGCAUACAUUCUUCUUAAGUUAAACUACAUUGCUAACCAUGUUAUUAUUAUGUUCUUCAACACAAACUCCUGAAGGAUCGUGUGCCUCAUAUGAUGUAUAUGAAAGGUGACACGAAUAUUAUUAGCUUACGGCCAAGUCUGCCUAUGGUUCACCGCAGUGCAUACUCGAUUUCUCGAAGAGAUGAAGACCUCACAAUCAAAGGAUGGAGAAAAGUUAUGAAUGAUCGCAGGGAACUACUUGGAAGCAACAUGGUGCGCAACCCACAAAUUGGAGCGAAGUGGAUCUCUAUUCUCCAUAAUGGAGAUUUAGGGGCUAUCCUGUUUUAUACUAUUUUACCUGAGCGAGAGUAGCAGGUCCUAGCUCGUACGCAUCAUGUGCUAAGAACAAUUAGCUAGUGUUGGUUAUGACUAUGAUGACGAUGAUGAGUUAUUAUCAUUAUUACGAUGA